rnacentral:tRNA from 2 species
UGCGAAGUGGUGUAAUUGGCAGCACACUUGACUUUGACUCAAGGGAACUAGGUUCGAGUCCUAGCUUCGCAG